rnacentral:rRNA from 1 species
GUGGAUUAGAUACCCUGGUAGUCCACGCUGUAAACGAUCGAUACUAGGUGUGGGAGGACUGACCCCUUCCGUGCCGCAGCUAACGCAAUAAGUAUCGCACCUGGGGAGUACGAUCGCAAGGUUGAAACUCAAAGGAAUUGACGGGGGCCCGCACAAGCGGUGGAGUAUGUGGUUUAAUUCGAAGCAACGCGAAGAACCUUACCAGGGCUUGACAUCCCGAUGCCCGGCAUAGAGAUAUGCUUUUCCCUUCGGGGACAUCGGUGACAGGUGGUGCACGGUUGUCGCCAGCU